rnacentral:rRNA from 1 species
AACGAACGCUGGCGGCAUGCCUAACACAUGCCAGUCGAACGAGACCUUCGGGUCUAGUGGCGCACGGGUGCGUAACGCGUGGGAACCUGCCCUUAGGUUCGGAAUAACUCCCCGAAAGGGGUGCUAAUACCGGAUAAUGUCUUCGGACCAAAGAUUUAUCGCCUUUGGAUGGGCCCGCGUUGGAUUCGCUAGUUGGUAGGGUAAAAGCCUACCAAGGCGACGAUCCAUAGCUGGUCUGAGAGGAUGAUCAGCCACACUGGGAAUGAGACACGGCCCAGACUCCUACGGGAGGCAGCAGUGGGGAAUAUUGGACAAGGGGCGAAAGCCUGAUCAAGCAAUGCCGCGGGAGUGAUGAAGGCCUUAGGGUUGUAAAGCUCUUUUACCCGGGAUGAUAAUGACAGUACCGGGAGAAUAAGCUCCGGCUAACUCCGUG